CCUACGGGAGGCAGCAGUGAGGAAUAUUGGUCAAUGGACGAGAGUCUGAACCAGCCAAGUAGCGUGAAGGAUGACUGCCCUAUGGGUUGUAAACUUCUUUUAUAUGGGAAUAAAAUGUUCCACGUGUGGGAUUUUGUAUGUACCAUAUGAAUAAGGAUCGGCUAACUCCGUGCCAGCAGCCGCGGUAAUACGGAGGAUCCGAGCGUUAUCCGGAUUUAUUGGGUUUAAAGGGUGCGUAGGUGGAUUGUUAAGUCAGUUGUGAAAGUGUGCGGCUCAACCGUAAAAUUGCAGUUGAAACUGGCAGUCUUGAGUACAGUAGAGGUGGGCGGAAUUCGUGGUGUAGCGGUGAAAUGCUUAGAUAUCACGAAGAACUCCGAUUGCGAAGGCAGUUCACUGGACUGCAACUGACACUGAGGCUCGAAAGUGUGGGUAUCAAACAGGAUUAGAUACCCGAGUAGUC
rnacentral:rRNA from 1 species